rnacentral:rRNA from 1 species
UUCAGUACUUGCCGCUUGCGACAAGUGUGCACUUUUCUCUUAGUAAGACGUUGUGAUCCAUUAGGAAUUGGAUGGCUCGCCUUGCGGGCCAUUAUUGGGCUGUCAAUAGGCCGGUGCGAAGUUCACGAUGUGCAAAUGGCACCACCAUCACGGUGGCGUGUAUUGUCUUGUGAGCGUACCGUGUUCUGCUACAGCCGCCUGAUGGAUUUUCAAGACCGUCCGCGUAAUGUCGCAAGGCAUUACCCGCCACCGUGCGGGUUUGCGGCGUGUCCGAUCAACAACGGUUAAAUUUGGGAUACCUUUGGGACCCGUCUUGAAACACGGACCAAGGAGUCUAUCUAGUGUGCGAGUAAAUGGGAACAUAUGAAACCUAUUUGCGUAAAUAACUUGACUGUUAUGGGAUUACGAGCGGCUGCGUGCAAGCGCACCGUUCCUCCAUCCCGGGGUAUUUUCAUCACAUGUACCGCUCUCGGGUGGACCACAUGGAAAAUAUACCAUGAGCAUACUGGAUAUGACCCGAAAGAUGGUGAACUAUGCCUGAUCAGGUUGAAGUCAGGGGAAACCCUGAUGGAGGACCGAAGCAAUUCUGACGUGCAAAUCG